AUCCAGCUGACAAGUCUCAAAUAGGAUAAAACGUGCGUCAAACUGGAU
rfam:Schistosoma margrebowiei strain Zambia genome assembly, scaffold: SMRZ_contig0002135